GAGGGAAAGUUGAAAAGAACUUUGAAGAGAGAGUUCAAGAGUACGUGAAACCGUUCAGAGGUAAACGGAUGGGACCGCAACCUCUCCCGCGGAAUUCAACCUUCGGGCCGUUCGUCCGGCCGGGUUCCCGAUCGCAAGACGGGACCCGGUCGGAGCGGGCGUCUGGGGGCGCAUUUUUCGCGGGGGGAAGCCACGACCGGUUCGUCGUCGGUCAAAAGCCCGGCGGGAAGGUGACUUCCUUCGGGAAGAGUUAUAGCCCGUCGGCGUGUUGGCCCGGCGGCGGACCGAGGGACUGCCCGCCGCGGAGGGGGCCCUCGCCCCGUCGGCCCGUUCAACUGGGAGGGACUGUCCUCAGUGCCUCCCGACCGCGGGUCGACGAGGGUCGGGGACCACCCCCUUCGUCUUUCAGGGUCUGUGGCCGUUCGGUCGGCUCCCUAUCCGACCCGUCUUGAAACACGGACCAAGGAGUCUAACAUGUGCGCGAGUCAUGGGGCUCUACGAAACCUAAAGGCGCAAUGAAGGUGAAGGCCCUCCUCUCGGUGGGCCUAGGUCGGAUCCCUCUCCUUGGAGGGGGCGCAAGACUGGCCCGUCUCGGAGGCAUCGUCCUCGAGGCGGAGCAAGAGCGUACACGUUGGGACCCCA
rnacentral:rRNA from 1 species